AGAACCUAUAAUCCACCCGGUAAACAAACUGGGCCCCCUCGGGGCAACUCCGGUGAAAGUCCGGGGCAGCCCCGCUACUGUGAGGACCUUACGUCCAAGCCAGAAAACCCGACGGGGCCGGGAAGGAUGU
rnacentral:ncRNA from 2 species